rnacentral:lncRNA from 1 species
AUCAUAAAUGGGUAUUGUUUUAAGUCACUACAUCUGUGAUCAUUUGUUACACAGGCAUAGAAAACUAAUACGCAAGCUGUGCCAGUGUGUCAGACACCAGAGGGAGAGAGGUACAGAGCUCUUUGGAAGCAAAUUUCCAAUCCCUGCUCACUUCUUGCCCCCAACGCUUUUGCUCUUUGACAUUGCUUGCUGCCAUCCUGCCUUCAACCUCAAAUCAGGUUUCUGCCUGUGAUUCAAUCUCUGGCUCCCUAUGAGAAAUCUUUUUUAUAUAAAAUUAAUAUAUAAAUAAAUUUGCUCUUGGAGAGAUGCAGUGUGGAACAGAACCUGCCAGGCUCUCUAACGUCCAUCACAAAGAAAGACUGCAGAGGGGAGGGGGAAGGCAGAGCUUUAUCCUCCAUAGGGAAGCAGAGAAUUCAUAGUGAUCUUAUUGCAGAUGUAAAAUUAGGUCAGCGGCUCUGUAAACUGAUUAAAGCUCAUGCUUCACGCUUCCAAGGAAAACAGCCAAUACAAAAGGGAAUGAUCCCUGGCUCAAGAUGAGAAGGAAGGAGAGCUCUCUAUGUUCGUAGUCCAGCCAUAUAGGAUGCUUGGCCAAAAUGAAGGUAUAGAAAAGGAACAACCAAAGAAAGAACAGGACAUACUGGAUCUUUCUGGGUAUCAUCAAACUUCUCCAUCCAAGAAUAAGGGACAGCAGCAUCUCUUUGACAUCCAUAGCCCAUUUCUGCUUUGCCAAUAUCACUUGUGCAUCUGGGGCCACCAAUGCAUCCUAUCCUAGCAAGUAUCAAUGGGAAUAAAGAAGAAACUUAGAAAACGACAAAAUUCAAGAAGAGCUGAAGCUCUGGAGCUAGCUUUGGUGGAGAAAGAAUGAUGCGGGAUGUUGGACUAAGCGAGAAAUGCAUAAGAAGCUGGAAACCAGAAAGCAAGGAGACCCACUAACAUGGCCUACUCUGGUCGGCCUCUGGGCACAAAGGAGGGUGAAGAAAGGAUGGGAGCAGACAUGGAGGCACCAAUGGAAAGUACCAGAACACUUAAAAAAUUGAACUUUUAUGUUAUUACUCAAUGUUACUUUUAUAUUAUUAAUCAGUAUUUACUGAGCCCAACCCCUAUGAUAGUUCUACAAUGUAUUACUCUUAAAAUCUAAGCUAGACCUGAAAUCCUAUAUUCUGUUUUAAGCUAUUACCUCUCAAUAGGAAAAGAGAGGUGUUGAGUGUCACCUUAAUCCUUCCUGAGAUAAACAUUCAAAUCAAUCUCUCUACAGAUUGCCCAUAACCUUGUUCUUGUCUGUAUUAAUACAUUCCUGUUGUCUGUCUUUAUUUCUGUUUACACUAUGUAAAUGUUAUAGAAUCAUCAAACUUUAGAAAUAGAUUUGAGAUAACAGAUUAAAUUAGGGAUACCAACUACUCUUUCAUUCCACAGAUAUUUACUGAGCCUGGAUUUUAUCAUCCAUGCCAACUAUAAGUGAUGAGUAGUGGCGACCUACAGCAUUGCACUGAGAGAAACUGAAAGCUGUACUCAUACAAGCUAGGAAACUGACUAUUCCAGCUGAGGGAAAGGAAGAGUGAACCCACAUACCAGAAACCUACUUUAUCUCGCCAAACACAAAUAUGGGAUGCCUAGUUAAGUUUGAAGUUCAGAUAAACAAUGAAUCAUUUUUGGUACAAAUAUGCCCCAUGCCAUAUUUGGGGCAUGUACUUAAAAAAUGAUUCAUUGUUUAUCUGAAAUUCGAACUAAACUGGGCAUCCUGUAUUUUUACUUGCUGAAUCUGGCAAGCCUGACCCUGACCUUGGACAAGGUUCUUGGCUAACAUUUCCACUUGGUAGACUGGGAAUCUAAGACCCAUAGACAGCAAGAAACUUUCCCAACUUUACACAGCUAGUUAAAACAGAAUCAGAACUAGAAGUACUUUCUACUGUCACAUAUGGUGCCCCCUCUGACUUAGAUCAUAAACUUCAUGAGGAUUUAAGUAAAUCUGUAAGCCACCUAGCAAACCCUUGCAAGCUGCUAGGCCCCUAACGAGCUCUUUCAGAUUGAUUGAAAAUAUGACCUGGAAAAUGUCAUAAUGACAUUUCAUAAUAGUGUUGUGUUAGUUUGUAAUGUACAGUAUAUUACACAAAUUCAUCAAAUGCUUGCAGAAUUAAUAGUACCAUGCUACCAUUCUUAUACAAAUUUUAAUAGGAAUGAGCAUCUAUAUUUAUAUGCAGGAAUUCCAGAUUAGGCAGUUAUUUGGUUUUCUACAAAUACAGAAAAUCAAUGACAAUCCAAAAACCUAUUACAGCUAAAAAGUGACUUAAAAUGUAAAAUGGGAAUUUCUACCUUUUUAACCACUGAAACUACUUCUUUAUUGAAGCUGAAAGAUAUUUAAAAGGAAA